rnacentral:rRNA from 1 species
UCAGGCCUAACACAUGCAAGUCGAACGGAUCACUUCGGUGGUUAGUGGCGAACGGGUGAGUAAUGCCUAGGAAUCUGCCUAUUAGCGGGGGAUAACGUUCCGAAAGGAACGCUAAUACCGCAUACGCCCUACGGGGGAAAGCAGGGGAUCUUCGGACCUUGCACUAAUAGAUGAGCCUAGGUCAGAUUAGCUAGUUGGUGGGGUAAAGGCUCACCAAGGCGACGAUCUGUAGCGGGUCUGAGAGGAUGAUCCGCCACACUGGAACUGAGACACGGUCCAGACUCCUACGGGAGGCAGCAGUGGGGAAUAUUGGACAAUGGGCGCAAGCCUGAUCCAAAAGUGCCGCGUGUGUGAAGAAGGCCUUUUGG